rnacentral:rRNA from 1 species
CCUUAUCACCCUGCAGCUCAAGACCAGUUACUCACAGAAGCUAAGUAGGGCUGAGCCUGGUCAGUACCUGGAUGGAAGACCACAUGGGAAAACUAGGUUG